AGAGAGAGACAUGCGCGCAUAUCAAUAAGCGGAGGAAAAGAAACUAACUAGGAUUCCCUCAGUAACGGCGAGUGAGGCGGGAAGAGCUCAAAUUUGAAAUCUUCAAGGUUCUACCUUGACGAAUUGUAGUUUAAAGAAGUGUUUUCUGUUGGAGUUUUGGUAAAAGUUCUUUGGAAUAGGGACAUCAGUAGAGGGUGAGAAUCCCGUAUUUGACCAUUAUUUCCAGCUUUGUGAUACACUUUCAAAGAGUCGGAUUGUUUGGGAAUGCAGUCCAAAAUGGGUGGUAAAUUUCAUCUAAAGCUAAAUAUUGGCGAGAGACCGAUAGCGAACAAGUACCGUGAGGGAAAGAUGAAAAGAACUUUGAAAAGAGAGUUAAACAGUACGUGAAAUUGUCAAAAGGGAAGCGUUUGACACCAGUGUUGUUUUCUCGAAAAUCAAUUAAAAAAGGCAGGAUUUUGUGUUGUAUUGACUUUAUCAGCUUUCUGCACUCUUUUCUUGUCUUUUUUAAUGCACUUUUCGUUUAACAAGUCAACAUCAAUUUCUUUUGUUGUAAAAGGGUCAUUGGAAGGUGGCUUUCUUUUCGGAGAAAGUGUUUAUAGCCUUUGGCCUCUGCAAUCGGAGAGAUUGAGGUCUGCAGCGUAGAUCCUUCGGGGUUAGAUACAUUUGUGCUAAGUUAUCAGCCUUUCAUAGACAACUUGUUGACUAUGAUCAGUCAUGUAGCUUACUCGCUUAUGCUAUUUUACCUACGCUUAGGAUGUUGAUGUGAUACUGCGAGC
rnacentral:rRNA from 1 species